CAGGCUUCAGCUGGUUACUCCCAGUCGCGCCAUACCAGUCACUCUUCACUCUUUUUCUCAGAGCUUCAAAACCAUGGACGCACCAACCUUCUGAAAUUCUAUGCUCCGACGACAACCGCCAUGCCCAGAUAGCUUCCUCAAAUUCCCUAAAAUCGCAUUCCCGAACCCAAAAAAAAUGAGAUAUUUACGAUUCAUUUCCCCACAUUUUUCCCGCAUUCAAAAUACCCUAAACCCCCCAAAUCCUAAUCCCAUUUCGUCUCUCCAAUCGAAGCCCCAAAUUUUCUCUCAUGUAGCGUGCAAUUACACCACCGCUGUACCGGAGCAGAGGCCGCCGCCGUCCGAGUCGGUAUCGGCGAUCGCGGACGAGAUCUCGGGCCUGACUUUGCUCGAAGUCUCGGACCUCACGGAGGUUCUGAGGGACAAAUUGGGGGUGAAGGAGAUGCCGGGGAUGGUGAUGAUGAUGCCCGGGAUGGGAUUCGGCGGCUUGAGGGGGGCCGGAAAGGGCGGCGCGGCGGCGGCCAAAAGCGAGGAGAAGGCGGAGAAGUUGGUGUUUGAUGUAAAGCUCGAUUCUUUCGAUGCUGCGGUGAAGAUCAAGGUGAUUAAGGAGGUGCGGACGUUUACGGAUUUGGGGCUGAAGGAGGCCAAGGACUUGGUGGAGAAGGCGCCUACGCUGUUGAAGAAGGGGGUUACGAAGGAGGAGGCCGAAUCGAUUGUUGCCAAGAUGAAGGAGGUUGGUGCCAAAAUUUCAAUGGAGUGAGUUGAUCGAACCGGAACCAAAUGAAACUUCAUCGACAUUUUAGAGCUUUUCAUGCUGCAGUCCAUAUCUCAAACAGAUGACAAAGCAUAGCUUUCCAGUUGUGGAUUCCUGCCAUGAUGGUUAACAAAGUGUUUCCAACCUACACUGAUUCCUUGUUUAGGGUCCUCAGACGGGUUCAACAACGGCAAGAUAUGCGUUUCCACAUCACAAUCCUUCAGCCUUAAGUCUCGCGUCGCAUCGGUUUGUGCUAACUGCUUCUCAAAAGGCUUGCUGCAUAUUUGAAUCAGGUGUUGGAUGCUUGGGACCGGUGGGAUAUCAGGAGGCACGUAGUUGACGUUUUUAUAAAAAGAUCCCGGUUCCAGUUUUGGAUGUUCUUGCUGGGCUUGUGGCGCAGGCAGGUUUUUGAAGUUAUCAUUAGGUACAGAGUUCUGAGUUUCAAUGGCUUUUCUGGCUUGCAAGACAUGAGGAGCAGCAGGUAAUUAUCCAAGAAACGGGUCAAGGGCCCACUUCCAACAACACCGAUACUGUUCCCAACUUGCCAAUGUGGGACUCAACAGGAUGGAGUGUCGGAGGCUUGCUACUGGUGGCAGGAGAUGAGGAGGUACAGAAUUUCCAUGAAGCCUACCUAGUCCAAGUUCUUGUUGUUCAGGCAUUCCUUGUGCUGCAACGGCUUCUUGGGCUAGCACGGCAGUGUACGAGGCCGCAGGUUCUUGUCUUGUGAAUGGUGGGAGAUCAUGAGGGACAUUUUUGCGAAUUCCGUAGUGCGAACCUAUGCCUCUUUCUUGUGUCUGUUCGGGCAUGCCCAUGCCUCUUUACUUAUCAUCAAUUUAACAUAUCUUUAUACCA